GAUGAACGCUAGCGAUAGGCCUAACACAUGCAAGUCGAGGGGCAUCACAUGAAGUAGCAAUACGGAUGGUGGCGACCGGCGCACGGGUGAGUAACACGUAUGCAACCUGCCUUCAACAAGGGGAUAACCCGUUGAAAGACGGACUAAUACCCUAUAACACAGGGGUCCCGCAUGGGAAUAUUUGUUAAAGGACAACCGGUUGAAGAUGGGCAUGCGUUCCAUUAGCUAGUUGGCGGGGUAACGGCCCACCAAGGCAACGAUGGAUAGGGGAACUGAGAGGUUUAUCCCCCACACUGGUACUGAGACACGGACCAGACUCCUACGGGAGGCAGCAGUGAGGAAUAUUGGUCAAUGGACGCAAGUCUGAACCAGCCACGUCGCGUGAAGGAAGACGGCCCUACCGGGUUGGUAAACUUCUUUUGUCAGGGGAAGUAAAGUGAGCCACGUGUGGUUUUUGUAUGUACUCUGCGAAUAAGGAUCGCGUAACUCCGUGCCAGCAGCCGCGGUAAUUA
rnacentral:rRNA from 1 species